GCGAGGUUCCUGGCUAGGGAGGCGGCCUUGGCUGGCCUGACCGUCAUCCUUGAGGCCUGCGGGGCAACGGUGGCUGUCCUUGGCCCGGCUUUGGAAUGUGGCUUUGCAGGGCUGGUGUUGGCGCCAUUCUCGCAGGCCCACGUGCUCCUGCUCUUCCAGGGUGUCCUCGGCUGUUUCUCCUGCCGCGGCGCAGCAGCGCUCCCAGGCUGCCCCCGCGAUAACACGCCCCUGGCAGCCAGGCUCCCAGCUCUGUUACGUGCCCGGGCGGGGAAGAGCUUCCUGGUGUCUCCCGGCUCCUGCCCUUCUCCCGCCCCAGGGGCGGGCUGCCGCCGCCCUCUGCAGCUGAGUCAGUGCAGUUCCUCACCUACCUUCUCUGCUCACCGUUGUGUGCUAGCAAUCGGAGGACCCUUGGCACACGGAGCGACAGGGGCCUCCCCCACAGACACCUCAUUUUGGGAAAGAAUUACACCUUCAUUCAGCUAAUUGCUGUCUUGAUUUGAAUCCAGGUUCUAGAACGAACUAGCUCCGAAACCUCAGGAAUAACUGGAAAUUUUAAGAAGUUACUAUCUCUGCUAUGGGGAUGGAUAGUCAGACAGCAAUGUUCACAAAUUACUCUUGAAACUUGAUGCAAACAACCUGUUGAAAAACUGAUGUCACGAGAGGAAUUUCAUGGAUGCAAAUGAACACCUGUGAAAAUUCUUCGGCAAGAACUGUUUCAUUUAGCAACACCAGGUUAGCAGUUUGAGAGAGGAUCUUUUUUGGGUCUACAUGCCCAAAUUUACAGAUUGUUUUGUUACUUCAAUCUGCCAUAAUGUUUGUUGAAUAAAUAAUAUCUAUCUUUGA